AACGAACGCUGGCGGCAGGCUUAACACAUGCAAGUCGAGCGCCCCGCAAGGGGAGCGGCAGACGGGUGAGUAACGCGUGGGAAUCUACCCAUCUCUACGGAAUAACGCACGGAAACGUGUGCUAAUACCGUAUACGUCCUUCGGGAGAAAGAUUUAUCGGAGAUGGAUGAGCCCGCGUUGGAUUAGCUAGUUGGUGGGGUGAAGGCCUACCAAGGCGACGAUCCAUAGCUGGUCUGAGAGGAUGAUCAGCCACACUGGGACUGAGACACGGCCCAGACUCCUACGGGAGGCAGCAGUGGGGAAUAUUGGACAAUGGGCGCAAGCCUGAUCCAGCCAUGCCGCGUGAGUGAUGAAGGCCCUAGGGUUGUAAAGCUCUUUCACCGGUGAAGAUAAUGACGGUAACCGGAGAAGAAGCCCCGGCUAACUUCGUGCCAGCAGCCGCCGUAACAC
rnacentral:rRNA from 1 species